UUCUUGAGAGGAUUGUGGGAAAAAAGAGUAUAUUUUGCUUCAAAAAAGGUUUAAUUCCGUGUUUGGGAGUAUAUAUAUGGAGGGAAAAGUACCAAUUUGCCCUUGAAGGCACGGAAGUGAACUGCUGAAAAACUGGGCACAAAGGCUGUGGAAGGACGGUGCCUUUCCCAGAGCCUUUUGUAGGCUGGGCAGCGCCUUGCUAUUGGGGAGGGGGCAAAGGCUCUAAGUUGGACGGUGCCGCCUCAUAGCCUUUAGCUACUGGUUUGAAAUCCAA
rnacentral:lncRNA from 1 species